AGUCAAUCAGCGGGAAGCAGAGGGUACGAAUGUCGCGUUCCCAGGCCCAGCGCAGUGCGAUGAGCGUACACAGACCCACGGCGUGUGCACCCAGCAGUCACUCCGGUGCCUCGGCAGACCGGGGAUUCCAAGAUAAACAAUGCCUCACACAGGGAGAAGAUGUAUGCACCUUGAUGUAGAAAUUUGGAAAGAAACAAAACUUUGCCCAAAGAAAAAUAGGGAAGGGGAAAGCAGGAAAUGACAUGAUUUAAAAAUGAAAAAGACAGAAUAUACUUGCAUCGAGAAGGACCAUAAGCAUCUCAAGAAAAGGAAAUGACUCCAUGGCCGGCCCACCCCUGCACGGAGAUGUAACGUAGGAGCAGAUGGUAGAGAAGCGGCAGAGUCCCAGGACGUGGCCCCAGCAUCCCACUGAACCUGUGUCUGCACCUGAGUGUUAGCAGUUCAUCCAGGCGCUGGUUUGUGUGGCGUGUCAACUUCCCUCUGGAACUCCACGGCUCAGUCUGUGGCGACCCAGCCCAGAGUCAGACCUUGUCUUGAACGUCAUGAAGUGUCACUUCAUCCCCAUGCUAUUGGUCAAAGCAAGUCACGGGGCCCCUCAGAUGAAAGGGCAGGGGAAUGUACAAGGCACGGGUGACAGAAGGAGUGGCUCAUGGGGGGACCAUCUUUCCAGAUCGACUGCUGCAGUGAUGAAGGGAUGGCCUCACCGACAAAGUGACAUUUGAGCACAGCUCUAAGGGACAUGAGCGAGCACGCCAUGUGACAUCUGAGCAUGGGGAACAGAAAGCAAAAAUCCCUGGGGCAGGACUACCCCUGAUGUGCUGAGAAAACAGAGGCCAGGGUAGCUGGGCUAGAGCAAGGUGAGUGGAGAGCGUUAGGAAUUAACUCAGGAAGAGGGCCAUGAUGGACAGCCUGAGAGGCCCCUGUGAGGACGGCGGAUUUUGGUUUGAGUUGCACGAGAAGCCAACGGAUGAUGUUAAACAGAAGAAUGAUAUGAUCUGGCUCAUAGCUAAGAAACUAUUCAUUCACAAGAGCUUCUAACGGAGGACCCAAACAGCCACUCUACUAAAAGCAUCAUGGGUAACCAAAGGGCCUAGGUCUCAAUGUUAGGCUUCUAUCUUCCAUAAAUAGCUUAAUUUCUCUUGGCUUUAGAUUCUCCAUCUGGAAACUGAGGGGUGGCCAGAGAAACAAUUUCAGAGAGAGCUCACUAGCCCAUCCCAAGGGUUGGGGAGAUGGUCCGGCUGACCCCUCUGGUUUCGACCCAAGAAGCAUUGUGUUGCUCUGCUUCAUACGCUGGACUCGCUUCCACGUAAGGUUUUGUUUGAAGAGAGAUUUUUGCUACUAAAAUGCCUUUAAAAAGCCACCGGCCUAGAUGAACUCUAAAUUCCUUGCAGCUUGAAAGUCCAUGCGUCUGUCACUAUUGACCAGAGGAUAAAAUGUGUAUAAAAGUGGGGAGGGGACUUGCCUCAUUCACAAGUGGAAGCAACGGUUGAAGUUUUUCCUGGGAGCCCCCGGCGGCCUCGCGGCUGGAAACCCUCCCUCCGUGAAUUCCUGUUCACUUCUCCUUGUGAAGAGGGAAGAACUGGGGGGAAGGUUGGCGUCUGGAGGUGAAAGAUAACAUGCCAGCGUAACCGAGACCGAACCUUAAUUUUUGGAAGUGGGGAGAACUGCGCCCUGGGGGCUUCUGAGCAGUCUCUGUCUUCUAGGUGGAGGCUGGAGUUCGCCUUUCAGACAGACCCUCUGUGUACAACGGGAGGGCCCGCUUUGGGGAGACCUUCCAAUUAACCUUUGUGGCUCCUCAGGGGAGCCUCGGGGCUUCAAAACUGGCGAAUAACAGAAGUCCAAGGGUUUGGUGAAGCUGUGUCCCAGCAGAAGCCCGCGUGGUUCACCACCUCUAGUAACCGCUGUGGCUUCUAGGGUGUGGUACUUCCUACACCCUCGGGGUUUUUGGAAAGUGCUUCUAAGAGUCUGAUCCAGUCUCCAAAGGUGCUGUGGGAAAUGGGAAAAAGUAGUGUGCUCGCCUUCCUGGAGGUCACAGAGGGGACUGACUGUGCCCGAGGAACUCUGAUCUCAGAAGGGUCAUCAGUACGGCGCAGCUCUGAGAGAGGAAGAGUUGCCAUGGUCACGGCCGCACCCACCCGAGGCCCUGGCGGGUCCCAGAGAGCACACACGGACUGCCUGCCAGCCCGAAGCAGGGAGAGUGGCGGCAGGAGGAGGAGAGCCCAGUGGACUUGUCCCAUGGGAGCCUACGGGAGCUGGGGACAAGUGGAGGGGAGUUAAUGUCCAAAAUUUUUGCAGAUGGACCUGGGCAAUAAAACAGGGGGCAAAGAAAGGAGGGCGCUCUUAUUGGGUAGUUGCUGGCUGAAGGGACCCAUGCACCAUGCAUAACAGGAAGCCAAACGAAGAUUCCAUCUUGGAUGCAAAGCCACAAAACAUGCAGGCGACAGAACUCCAGCGGGACGAUGUAACUGCUCUGAGAUUCUGGCACGACGUAGCUCGCUCCAGUUUUGCAGAGAGGGAAGACAUUCUGGAGGCGAUAUCAUACCGGCCCCUCUCCCUCAGGUGCUGACAUCUUCUUGGUGUUCCUUCAAUGCUUGUCUUGCACUGGAGUCAGCCCAUUCCCUCAGACGAAGUCUUUAUCGAUGGGAGAACAACUUUUCCUCUGCCACUCUUCUCUCCGGUUUUCUUCCUUGUUCCCCACCACACUAAAAUCCUUUACAGAAUCCUACAUAGUAAUUAAAGAAUACUUUGACCAUCGUUAAGGAAAAAAGAGAUCACUCGGUGUCUUAGCCCAAUACUUGGAAUAGAGUAAUCACUAAAUAUAUGAGAAUUGUUAUU